rnacentral:rRNA from 1 species
AAUGAACGCUGGCGGCGCGCCUAAUACAUGCAAGUCGAGCGGGAAGACGUAGCAAUACGUUUGUAAAGCGGCGAACGGGUGAGGAAUACAUGGGUAACCUACCCUCGAGUGGGGAAUAACUAGCCGAAAGGUUAGCUAAUACCGCGUACGCUUCUUGGACUUCGGUUCAGGGAGGAAAGCGAUGCCGAGGGUAUCGCGCUCUUGGAUGGGCUCAUGUCCUAUCAGCUUGUUGGUGAGGUAACGGCUCACCAAGGCUUCGACGGGUAGCUGGUCUGAGAGGACGAUCAGCCACACUGGCACUGCGACACGGGCCAGACUCCUACGGGAGGCAGCAGUAAGGAAUAUUGCGCAAUGGGCGAAAGCCCGACGCAGCGACGCCGCGUGGGGGA